rnacentral:misc_RNA from 1 species
AGACAGUUACCUACAUGUUGCAGGUACAGAAAUUUAUAAUCACCACUUUCACUUAGAAUCCUUCGUUUUCUGGCAUUAAAAAUUGACCUAUCUCUAUUUUUCCCCCAUUAAUAAAAAGCUAAAAGUUUAUAAUAAUAUUUAACGGGUGAAGUAAGAUCCGGCAAACUUGUUAAGUUGUCAAACUAAUUAAUUACUUGAUUAUGCAAAGUGGUUUCUAUUCAUUCAGUCAAUCUCACCUGAUCUUAUAACAUUAAGAUAUUAUGGUGGCAAGCUACUGCUUAAUUAGUCAAGUGGAGGCAGGUGCUAAUACACUAGUAGUCUCAUACUCAAAUGUCUAUUUUGUAAUACAGUUAGGAGUUCAAAUUUUAAUAUUAGAUGCCAAAAAAAUAGGUCAAGUUCAUACAAACAUGCACUAUUGUCCAGGUUGACAAGUAUUGCAAGAAAACAAAACAUGCAGGGGUCCAAAAUUCUAUUCACUUGCACCAAAAGUGAAGAAAAAAACAACGUAUAAAACAAAACUUGACCUCGUGGGUUAGGGAAUGAUUAUUCUCUAGGGUGGGUGCAUUGAUUGGUGAUGAAGUUAUCUCAUUUAUGUGAGGAACACUUAUCUUAUUUUGAACGGAAACUGAUUGUUAAAUAAUCAGGGAGCUGUCACGCAUGAAGAU